GAGAGUGUGGCAUAGUGGUUUGCCUGCUGGGCUAGGAUUCUGGAGACCAGGGUUCAAAUCCCCACUCAAUCA